rnacentral:rRNA from 1 species
GAUGAACGCUGGCGGCGUGCCUAAUACAUGCAAGUCGAGCGAACAGACGAGGAGCUUGCUCCUCUGACGUUAGCGGCGGACGGGUGAGUAACACGUGGAUAACCUACCUAUAAGACUGGGAUAACUUCGGGAAACCGGAGCUAAUACCGGAUAAUAUAUUGAACCGCAUGGUUCAAUAGUGAAAGACGGUUUUGCUGUCACUUAUAGAUGGAUCCGCGCCGCAUUAGCUAGUUGGUAAGGUAACGGCUUACCAAGGCGACGAUGCGUAGCCGACCUGAGAGGGUGAUCGGCCACACUGGAACUGAGACACGGCCAGACUCCUACGGGAGGCAGCAGUAGGGAAUCUUCCGCAAUGGGCGAAAUCCUGACGGAGCAACGCCGCGUGAGUGAUGAAGGUCUUCGGAUCGUAAAACUCUGUUAUUAGGGAAGAACAAAUGUGUAAGUAACUAUGCACGUCUUGACGGUACCUAAUCAGAAAGCCACGGCUAACUACGUG